rnacentral:rRNA from 1 species
GCAGUCGAGCGGAUGAAGGGAGCUUGCUCCUGGAUUCAGCGGCGGACGGGUGAGUAAUGCCUAGGAAUCUGCCUGGUAGUGGGGGAUAACGUCCGGAAACGGGCGCUAAUACCGCAUACGUCCUGAGGGAGAAAGUGGGGGAUCUUCGGACCUCACGCUAUCAGAUGAGCCUAGGUCGGAUUAGCUAGUUGGUGGGGUAAAGGCCUACCAAGGCGACGAUCCGUAACUGGUCUGAGAGGAUGAUCAGUCACACUGGAACUGAGACACGGUCCAGACUCCUACGGGAGGCAGCAGUGGGGAAUAUUGGACAAUGGGCGAAAGCCUGAUCCAGCCAUGCCGCGUGUGUGAAGAAGGUCUUCGGAUUGUAAAGCACUUUAAGUUGGGAGGAAGGGCAGUAAGUUAAUACCUUGCUGUUUUGACGUUACCAACAGAAUAAGCACCGGCUAACUUCGUGCCAGCAGCCGCGGUAAUACGAAGGGUGCAAGCGUUAAUCGGAAUAACUGGGCGUAAAGCGCGCGUAGGUGGUUCAGCAAGUUGGAUGUGAAAUCCCCGGGCUCAACCUGGGAACUGCAUCCAAAACUACUGAGCUAGAGUACGGUAGAGGGUGGUGGAAUUUCCUGUGUAGC